ensembl:misc_RNA 7SK 7SK RNA
GAAUGUGAGGGUGAUCUGGCUGCGACACCUGUCACCCCAUUAAUGUAGGGUUUAUUCCGCUGAUACGGCUGGCAAGGUGGGUGUCCCCUUCCUCCCUGUCCAUGUGCGAAGAGAUGACCUUCCCCGCCAGAGGAAGGAGAGGACCACUCUGUGGUCAAGGGUAUGUGAGUCGCUGUGCUCCCCCGGCUAGAACCUCCCAGCGAGUUCCCAAUGGUAGCUCUCUUUGGGGGUAGGGCUGUUUCCAGGAAGUAAUCAAACCCUAUCCCAGACUUGGGGUCGCCUCUGGCUCACUCCCCAACUACUG